rnacentral:ncRNA from 1 species
GUUAGUUCUCAGUUCGGAUUGUAGUCUGCAACUCGACUACAUGAAGCUGGAAUCGCUAGUAAUCGUAGAUCAGCAUGCUACGGUGAAUACGUUCCCGGGUCUUGUACACACCGCCCGUCACACCACGAGAGUUUGUAACACCCGAAGCCGGUGGAGUAACCAUUUGGAGCUAGCCGUCGAAGGUGGGACAAAUGAUUGGGGUGAAGUCGUAACAAGGUAGCCGUAUCGGAAGGUGCGGCUGGAUCACCUCCUUU